UCGGUGGGGGAUUAGUGGCGAACGGGUGAGUAACACGUGGGCAAUCUGCCCUGCACUCUGGGACAAGCCCUGGAAACGGGGUCUAAUACCGGAUAUGACACGGGAUCGCAUGGUCUCCGUGUGGAAAGCUCCGGCGGUGCAGGAUGAGCCCGCGGCCUAUCAGCUUGUUGGUGGGGUGAUGGCCUACCAAGGCGACGACGGGUAGCCGGCCUGAGAGGGCGACCGGCCACACUGGGACUGAGACACGGCCCAGACUCCUACGGGAGGCAGCAGUGGGGAAUAUUGCACAAUGGGCGCAAGCCUGAUGCAGCGACGCCGCGUGAGGGAUGACGGCCUUCGGGUUGUAAACCUCUUUCAGCAGGGAAGAAGCGCAAGUGACGGUACCUGCAGAAGAAGCACCGGCUAACUACGUGCCAGCAGCCGCGGUAAUACGUAGGGUGCGAGCGUUGUCCGGAAUUAUUGGGCGUAAAGAGCUCGUAGGCGGCCUGUCGCGUCGGAUGUGAAAGCCCGGGGCUUAACCCCGGGUCUGCAUUCGAUACGGGCAGGCUAGAGUUCGGUAGGGGAGAUCGGAAUUCCUGGUGUAGCGGUGAAAUGCGCAGAUAUCAGGAGGAACACCGGUGGCGAAGGCGGAUCUCUGGGCCGAUACUGACGCUGAGGAGCGAAAGCGUGGGGAGCGAACAGGAUUAGAUACCCUGGUAGUCCACGCCGUAA
rnacentral:rRNA from 1 species